rnacentral:rRNA from 1 species
ACACAUGCAGUCGAACGGUAGCACAGAGAGCUUGCUCUCGGGUGACGAGUGGCGGACGGGUGAGUAAUGUCUGGGAAACUGCCUGAUGGAGGGGGAUAACUACUGGAAACGGUAGCUAAUACCGCAUAACGUCUUCGGACCAAAGUGGGGGACCUUCGGGCCUCACACCAUCGGAUGUGCCCAGAUGGGAUUAGCUAGUAGGUGGGGUAAUGGCUCACCUAGGCGACGAUCCCUAGCUGGUCUGAGAGGAUGACCAGCCACACUGGAACUGAGACACGGUCCAGACUCCUACGGGAGGCAGCAGUGGGGAAUAUUGCACAAUGGGCGCAAGCCUGAUGCAGCCAUGCCGCGUGUAUGAAGAAGGCCUUCGGGUUGUAAAGUACUUUCAGCGGGGAGGAAGGCGAUAAGGUUAAUAACCUUGUCGAUUGACGUUACCCGCAAAAGAAGCACCGGCUAACUCCGUGCCAGCAGCCGCGGUAAUACGGAGGGUGCAAGCGUUAAUCGGAAUUACUGGGCGUAAAGCGCACGCAGGCGGUCUGUCAAGUCAGAUGUGAAAUCCCCGGGCUUAACCUGGGAACUGCAUUUGAAACUGGCAGGCUAGAGUCUUGUAGAGGGGGGUAGAAUUCCAGGUGUAGCGGUGAAAUGCGUAGAGAUCUGGAGGAAUACCGGUGGCGAGGCGGCCCCCUGGACAAAGACUG